AGGUUCAUGGCAUGGCUUCCACCUUGGCUUGCAGUUCAUUUAACACGUUACCAGACGCUUCUGGAGAAGCACUGGGAAGAACAUGGUAAACCUGCUGCUGAUGCAUUGUUACAGAAGGCUAUAAAGGAA